GACGAACGCUGGCGGCGUGCCUAAUACAUGCAAGUAGAACGCACAGUUUAUACCGUAGCUUGCUACACCAUAGACUGUGAGUUGCGAACGGGUGAGUAACGCGUAGGUAACCUGCCUGGUAGCGGGGGAUAACUAUUGGAAACGAUAGCUAAUACCGCAUAAUAUUGACUAUUGCAUGAUAAUUGAUUGAAAGAUGCUAUUGCAUCACUACCAGAUGGACCUGCGUUGUAUUAGCUAGUAGGUGAGGUAACGGCUCACCUAGGCGGCGAUACAUAGCCGACCUGAGAGGGUGAUCGGCCACACUGGGACUGAGACACGGCCCAGACUCCUACGGGAGGCAGCAGUAGGGAAUCUUCGGCAAUGGACGAAAGUCUGACCGAGCAACGCCGCGUGAGUGAAGAAGGUUUUCGGAUCGUAAAGCUCUGUUGUAAGAGAAGAACGGGUGUGAGAGUGGAAAGUUCACACUGUGACGGUAUCUUACCAGAAAGGGACGGCUAACUACGUG
rnacentral:rRNA from 1 species